rnacentral:lncRNA from 1 species
GUUUAAUUUCUCGUACAUUAGACAACUAUUUAAUAGUAUAUCUAUAAAUUAAAACAACCACCCUCUACUCAAUUAGUUAGAGUCUCGUGCUGAUAACAUAUUAUAAAAUAAUAAAAGAAGAAGAGCAAUAUUGCAAAGAAAUAUAGAGAGAAUUCUUAUUGAAUUUUGAGGUGCUUUACACUGGGGUAAGACCUCUCUAUUUAUAGGAGGAAAAAUGUCUUAGCCUCAAAGUAAAACUCUCUACAAGAUAGACAUUCA